rnacentral:rRNA from 1 species
AUUGAACGCUGGCGGCAGGCCUAACACAUGCAAGUCGAACGGUAACAGGAAACAGCUUGCUGUUUCGCUGACGAGUGGCGGACGGGUGAGUAAUGUCUGGGAAACUGCCUGAUGGAGGGGGAUAACUACUGGAAACGGUAGCUAAUACCGCAUAACGUCGCAAGACCAAAGAGGGGGACCUUCGGGCCUCUUGCCAUCGGAUGUGCCCAGAUGGGAUUAGCUAGUAGGUGGGGUAACGGCUCACCUAGGCGACGAUCCCUAGCUGGUCUGAGAGGAUGACCAGCCACACUGGAACUGAGACACGGUCCAGACUCCUACGGGAGGCAGCAGUGGGGAAUAUUGCACAAUGGGCGCAAGCCUGAUUCAGCCAUGCCGCGUGUAUGAAGAAGGCCUUCGCGUCGUAAAGUACUUUCAGCGGGGAGGAAGGGAGUAAAGUUAAUACCUUUGCUCAUUGACGUUACCCGCAGAAGAAGCACCGGCUAACUCCGUGCCAGCCGCCGCCGUAA